GCCGGGCGUGGUGGCAUGUGCCUGUAAUCCCAGCUACUCGGGAGGCUGGGGCAUGAGAAUUGCUUGAACCUGGGAGGCUGAGGUUGCAGUGAGCCAAGAUCCACACCACUGCGCUCCAGCCUGGGUGAAAGAGAGAAACACAUCUCAAAAAAAAGAGAGUCUUACUGUAUCUCCCAGGCUGGAGUGCAGUGGCACAAUCUCCGUUCACUGCAACCUCCGCCUCCCGGGUUCAAGCAAUUCUCAUGCCUCA
rnacentral:sRNA from 1 species